AGUGAACGCUGGCGGUAGGCCUAACACAUGCAAGUCGAACGGCAGCACAGUAAGAGCUUGCUCUUACGGGUGGCGAGUGGCGGACGGGUGAGGAAUACAUCGGAAUCUACUUUUUCGUGGGGGAUAACGUAGGGAAACUUACGCUAAUACCGCAUACGACCUACGGGUGAAAGCAGGGGAUCUUCGGACCUUGCGCGAUUGAAUGAGCCGAUGUCGGAUUAGCUAGUUGGCUAGGUAAAGGCCCACCAAGGCGACGAUCCGUAGCUGGUCUGAGAGGAUGAUCAGCCACACUGGAACUGAGACACGGUCCAGACUCCUACGGGAGGCAGCAGUGGGGAAUAUUGGACAAUGGGCGCAAGCCUGAUCCAGCCAUACCGCGUGGGUGAAGAAGGCCUUCGGGUUGUAAAGCCCUUUUGUUGGGAAAGAAAAGCAGCAGGUUAAUACCCCGCUGUUCUGACGGUACCCAAAGAAUAAGCACCGGCUAACUUCGUG
rnacentral:rRNA from 1 species